rnacentral:lncRNA from 1 species
GCAUCCUCCCCAGUCCGGGAAGAGAGGCCUAGGAUGCCUGGGGCCCAGCGGCCUCUUCCCUCCUGGCGUCCCCGGCUGCCCUCGCUCCCAGGCCCCGCAGUCUCAUUUGCCGCUUCCGACGCGUGACCCCGGCGCGCUAGCGUCCGGGACCGGUGACAGGCGCGGGGUGCGCCAAGCAGUCCCAUGUGUCCCCUCCCUCUCGCAGCCGCCGCAGUCGCUGCGCCCCGAGCCCCUCUCCGGCUCCUCAACAGAGGGCUCGCCGCCGCCAUGUCUACCGCCCAGUCACUCAAAUCCGUGGACUACGAGGUGUUCGGAAGAGUGCAGGGUAGGAGGCCCCUCUACGUAUACAGAAGAUGAAGCUAGGAAAAUAGGAGUGGUUGGCUGGGUGAAGAAUACCAGCAAAGGCACCGUGACAGGCCAAGUGCAGGGGCCAGAAGACAAAGUCAAUUCCAUGAAGUCCUGGCUGAGCAAGGUUGGAAGCCCUAGUUCUCGCAUUGACCGCACAAACUUUUCUAAUGAAAAAACCAUCUCUAAGCUUGAAUACUCUAAUUUUAGUAUUAGAUACUAAUAGAAGAGAAAAAUUGUAACACACUGAACAAUAGAUACUGUAUGUUCUUAAGACUAUGUAUACUAGAAUAAUAGUAGCAGAGUAGGGUGAAAAGGAACUUUCUGUUCUGAAAGCUAAGCGACUGUACGUGCUACUAAAAAUGUCUGACACUGAAAUAAUUUUACUCAACUAUGUUUUCAACAAGCAAAAAUAUAGUAUUCUAAGAUUAAAAUGUCAUUACAAAAUAUUUAGUGUGAACAUUUAAUUUAAACUUGUCUCAUGGAAUCUUUAAUUUCAAUGAACAUUACAGCAUAUAUAUGUUAUUUGGCGAGACAUCAAAUAAAGUUAACCAUUUAAAA